rnacentral:rRNA from 1 species
UGGGGAAUUUUCCGCAAUGGGCGCAAGCCUGACGGAGCAAUACCGCGUGAGGGAGGAAGGCUUUUGGGUUGUAAACCUCUUUUUUCAAGGAAGAAGCAAGUGACGGUACUUAAAGAAUCAGCAUCGGCUAACUCCGUGCCAGCAGCCGCGGUAAGACGGAGGAGGCAAGCGUUAUCCGGAAUUAUUGGGCGUAAAGCGUCCGCAGGUGGCAAUUCAAGUCUGCUUUUAAAGCGUGCAGCUCAACUGCAUAGAGGGAGUAGAAACUGAGUAGCUAGAGUGCGGUAGGGGCAGAGGGAAUUCCCAGUGUAGCGGUGAAAUGCGUAGAUAUUGGGAAGAACACCAGUGGCGAAAGCGCUCUGCUGGGCCUGCACUGACACUGAUGGACGAAAGCUAGGGGAGCGAAAGGGAUUAGAUACCCCCGUAGUCC